AACGUAGGAGACAAACGUUAUCCGGAGUUACUGGGCGUAAAGGGCGUGUAGGCGGUUAGUUAAGUCUGGCGUGAAAGCUCUCGGCUAAACCGGGAGAGGUCGUUGGAUACUGGCUGACUAGAGGACGGUAGAGGCGUGUGGAAUUCCGGGUGUAGUGGUGAAAUGCGUAGAGAUCCGGAGGAACACCAGUGGCGAAGGCGACACGCUGGGCCGUACCUGACGCGAAAGCGCGACAGCAUGGGGAGCAAACGGG
rnacentral:rRNA from 1 species